rnacentral:rRNA from 1 species
UAAUACAGAGGGUGCGAGCGUUAAUCGGAAUUACUGGGCGUAAAGCGCACGUAGGUGGCGACGUAAGUCGGGUGUGAAAUCCCUGGGCUCAACCUGGGAACGGCAUUCGAGACUGUGUUGCUGGAGUACGGAAGAGGAGGGCGGAAUUCCCGGUGUAGCGGUGAAAUGCGUAGAUAUCGGGAGGAACAUCAGUGGCG